ensembl:lncRNA
UCAUAAAUGAAAAAUGUACAUAUACCUUUGUGAUGACAGUGAUAAGUGAUGAAGAUAAUUUCAUAAUAUAUCACAAUCUCAAAAUAAUUUUAUUUUUCCAAUCAUGGGAACUAUUAAAAUGUAGAAGAGUUUAGAAUAAUUUGUUGUGAUACUUAGAAAGAAGGAAAUGAAGAUCAUACAUUUUCUUCUUGAGAAAGAUGAAACUGAAGUCAAUAAAUAGGGUUCACUUGAGCAGCUGAGGGAAAGGAAAGGGUAGCUAUAGAUGCUUUUUGGAAAUAUUCACAUACUUAACUUUGCAGAGAAUAUAAAAAAUAGAUUACAGAGUGUCUUAGUUACUUUUCUUGUUGCUAAGACAGAAUACCCAACACACAAAGUUAAAGGAGGAAAGGUUUAUUUGGCUCACAGUUUGUAGAGCUUUCAGUGCAUAAUUGACUGCCUCCAAGGCAGAAUGGCAUGGCAGGCAGGUACUGAAGAGGAGAAACAGUUCAUGAUUGGCAGAAGGUAGCAAAGUGAGCAAGAGGCUUCUUUCUACUCUUUCUAUACUCUCUCUAGGCCUAAUCUAGGCAUUAUGGUGGUGUCAAGCCAAUCAAUGGACUCAUGCUGUACUAAUUCCAGCUUCACGCUAGAUUUAGCCACCUCUGAAAAGCUCUAUGACCACAUGAGGCUCUGGGGGACAUCUAAACCCAACCCAUAAUGUUCUGCAGCUUGCCUCCCCAAAUACCAUGCAUACAUAUCCUUUUAUGAAAGAUAUUUAGUCCAUCUCCAAGAGUUGCCAAAGUCCUAACAGUUUCAUCAUUGGCAAAAAGUCCAACUCCAAAACUCCUCUGAGAUUUAAGGCAAACUCUUAGCUGUGAGCCCCUCCACAAGGGGAAAGAAAGUUAAACCCUUCUAACAUUCAAUGGCACAAGAUAGACAUUUCUAUUACAAAAGGUAUAAACAUAGGUUUUCAAAGGAAUAGGGCAAAAGCAAGUCCAAAAUCCAGCAGAGAAAACAUUAAGUCCCGUAGUUUCAGGUCCAGCGUCUGGGCAAUCUGUGGCAAAAUAUGAACUCCAAAGGGAUUGGGUGACUCCACCUCCAUGGCACUGCCAGGAAUUAUAGUUCCCAUAGCUUCUCUCUUGGGUUAGCCCUGUUCCUCCCUAAGUUUUCCUCAGAUGAUCCAUGUUCCAGGGUUCUCUAAACUUUCUCCACUGUACCUUUGCUUCACACUCACAGCUUCACACACUGCCCUUUCAGGGGCACACUGCCUGGCCUCCCAGGCUGUAUUCUGAAAUCUGGGUAUAGCCCUUUCUGACCUCAUAACUCUUACAUGUAUCAUGUACCUAAAACCAGUACCACGUGGAUGAUGCCAAGGUCUGCUGCCAGCUGGAGCAGUAGCCAGGCUUCCUUCUCUCUUGGCUCUAGGGAUAGAGUGCUUAUGAACCAAAUCCUGAGCAAAAACUUCUUAGGCUGCCAUCAUUCUGGAGCAUGGUGCUCUGGGGCUCUUUUCUGAAAAUGAAAUCUUUCACUUUUGCAACUCUGAGGCUGCAAAGGCUGGAAUCCUGCUGCAACUUGUGAUGUGCUCAGGGUAUCUUUUCUGUUUUCUUCUGAAAUACUUGGCUUUUUCUUGCUAGUUUUUUCAGCGACCAAUUUCUCCUCUGUUCCAUUUUUACUAGCUGUAACUUUACUGGAGGUUCAUUUCUGGACAAACUCAAAACAUUUUGAAUCAUUCUGCUGGGCUCUUGGCUCUCAACAUAAAUCUGGCUAAAUGUCCCCAACAGUAGCCAUGCCACCACCUCAACAUUAGAUUACCUUGAAAUUUCUUCUGGAAGAUUAAUGAGGCUAGCACUGUUAAUCUGCCUCAGGCAAAGUGCCUGGAUACAAGCAAACUCCAGACAAACUUUUUGCCAAGGUAUAACACACAUUGUUUGGAGUCCUACAGCCAAUGAAGUCCUUCUUCCCAGCAGAAAACUCCCAAGCUUGGUUUUUACCAUCAGGACUUCUAUCAGCCUUCUGAGCUCUGACAAGAAUCUCCCAUGAAGUACAUACUAAGAUAGUUCAGAUUUACUUUUUCAGCAUCUCUGCCCAUUUCCAAACUUUUCCCACAAGCCAGUCCCAAAGGCUCCUGAACCACAUGGUCAGGUAUAUUCACAGCAAUGACCCCACAUCUUUGGUACCAAAUUCUGUCUUAGUUACUUUUCUCAUUGCUGAGACAAAAUACUCAGCAUCCAAAGUUAAAUAAGGAAAAGUUUAUUUGGCCCACAGUUUGUAGAGGUUUCAGUGCACAAUCGGCUGGCUCCAAGGCAGAGUGGAAUGGCAGACAAGAAUAGAAGAGGAGAAACAGUUCAUGGUGGGCAAAAGGUAGCAAAGCAAGCAAGGGGCCUUAGCAACUUCUUUCUACCCCUUUUAUACUCUUUCUAGGGUACUGGGAUUAGGGUGGUACCAAACCAAUCAGUGGACUGAUUUAGUAAUCACACACCCUUUUUACCACCAUCACAUACUCUAGAUCCAGCCACGUCUGAAAAAACUCCACCUAUGACUGCAUAAGGCUUUGGUGAGACAUCUAAACACAAGCCACAACACAAGAUUUCCAAAUUAAAUGACCAGCAACACUCUACAGAUAAUUGGGAAUUCAUUCUGAAGAUCUAUUAGAUUCUAUGCAAUAUAUGAAGCACUUUACAGGAAAUUAACAAAAUUGGCUCAACUAUUAGAAAUUUCAAUUAACUAGACAUCUGUUGAAAACACACCGAAUAGAAUACAAUCUGUUUAAAAUAUUUUUUACAUAAGGUGGCUGACAGUGCAAUAAAGCAAACAACAAGAGGAAUAAGGGGAAUGAUCUGUAUUCAGCCCAUCGCAGACAACUGAAUCCACAAUGAAACACUAGAGCCUUCUACCAAUGCCACACCUCUAAACCAUAAAAACACACCAGUGACUUUGUUCUUCUCUUUGUCUUCCUGCUUUUAAAAGGUCAGAAUUUGCAAAAAUAUGUGUAAGUAAAUUUACUAGUAAUGAAAUUUAAAAUUCAUGAAUUGUUCAUAGAAUAUAUGUAAAUAGAAAUAGAACUAUAAUUAAUAUUUAUAAGUACCA